rnacentral:rRNA from 1 species
UAAUACAUCGGAACGUGCCCAAUCUGGGGGAUAACGCAGCGAAAGCUGUGCUAAUACCGCAUACGAUCUACGGAUGAAAGCAGGGGAUCGCAAGACCUUGCGCGAAUGGAGCGGCCGAUGGCAGAUUAGGUAGUUGGUGAGGUAAAGGCUCACCAAGCCUUCGAUCUGUAGCUGGUCUGAGAGGACGACCAGCCACACUGGGACUGAGACACGGCCCAGACUCCUACGGGAGGCAGCAGGU